rnacentral:lncRNA from 1 species
AUAUAUAUUAGAGUCCGUUUACUAUACUUUUAUUAGUAUUGGCUCCCUUAUACUCAUAAGUUUUCGGCCCUUAGAUUUAUUACAUUAAUCAUUUUCAUCCGUUAGAUUAUAUUAUUUAAUUAACUACCUACUCAACCCUAGGGGACCACUAUUAUUUUAAGUAGGAACGACCAUCAUCCUAACCAUACAUCCUAUCAAUCAUCGGUUAAAAAUUUAUGAGUAUAAGAGGGACUAUACUCAUAAGAGUAUAUAUAUGAGAGAGAGAGAGAGGGGUUGAUCUAUGAAGGGAGGGAAAGGGUUUGGGGGAUUUAAGUUGAUGGGUUUAGGG